rfam:Sus scrofa chromosome 2.
UCCCUGGUGGCCUAGUGAUUAAGGAUCCAGCAUUGUUAUUGCUGUGGCUCAGGUUUGAUUCCUGGCCCAGGAA